CAACCAGCAUGGCCAUGCAGCGAUCCUGCCAAUGCUUUAAUCGAGGCUACCACGCGCUGCGCGCGCCGAAUAAAGCUUUGAAUUUUUCAAUCCACGUGUUUCCCUGGUACUCAUCAUACGCCUAGCAUUUAUGUGCAUCCGCCAGGUACCAGCCGAUUUUCAGUCGGCCAUGUUUGAUUUUUCGCCGAAACCGUGAAUUUUGACACAUUUGGUCAUCCAAUUUUCGAGAACUUUUUACGCCGUAAAUGACUUUUAUGAGCCUUGCAAUUACAGUAAUUUGAUGAAUUAAUGGUCCGCCAACUUGAAGAGACUGACUUUUGUGAACCAUGCUGAGGCUGGAUUGGAUGGACCAGACCAGUGCCUAGACUAUCGUGAAUGACUGCCCACUGAGGCUUUUCCCCAGCGACAUCAAAGCCAUUCACACCGUAGCCGAUGAUGCCCUGGCCUGGAUGUCUACCUUUGGCCUACAACUGUAGGCUGUGCACGCCAUACGAAAGAAGAAGCAGUGCCUAGGCUAGGCAGGACACUGAGGACAGGCUGGAUGACCAUCAUCAUGGUGACUGGGAUGACCUUAAGGAAGAGACUGACCUUUGUGAAUCAUGCUGAGGCUGGAUUGGAUGGACCAGACCAGUGCCUAGACUAUCGUGAAUGACUGCCCACUGAGGCUUUUCCCCAGCGACAUCAAAGCCAUCCACACCGUAGCCGAUGAUGCCCUGGCCUGGAUGUCUACCCUUGGCCUACAACUGUAGGCUGUGCACGCCAUACGAAAGAAGAAGAAGUGCCUAGGCUAGGCAGGACACUGAGGACAGACUGGAUGACCAUCAUCAUGGUGACUGGGAUGACCUUAAGGAAGAGACUGACCUUUGUGAACCAUGCUGAGGCUGGAUUGGAUGGACCAGACCAGUGCCUAGACUAUCGUGAAUGACUGCCCACUGAGGCUUUUCCCCAGCGACAUCAAAGCCAUCCACACUGUAGCCGAUGAUGCCCUGGCCUGGAUGUCUACCUUUGGCCUACAACUGUAGGCUGUGCACGCCAUACGAAAGAAGAAGAAGUGCCUAGGCUAGGCAGGACACUGAGGACAGACUGGAUGACCAUCAUCAUGGUGACUGGGAUGACCUUAAGGCCAAGAGGAGGGAAGUUGAUCUCAUCUCAAAGUUUGGUGGAACAUGGCUUUCUACUGGUUCCCGUCUCCCAUAUCUGCCAUACAUGUAGCCCUUGCUCUUGGGAAACCAUCUGGACAGAUGCUGUCCACAUAGUGAUACGUAGCCUACCUGUUCAUCGUCCGCCAUAGGAACCAAGGUGCGGACAGGCAGUUCAGGAUGUCUGUGAGAGAUGAGGCAACAUCCUAAAGUCUAUUCUGGCUUCUCUCAGGAUGACUGAGUGCUGCAAAUUGGUGAGUGUCUUAAAACAUUUUGCUCAAAUAACUCAGGGGAAGAGGGGCCAGGAAACACCUCAGAUUGCACCACAGAGCAUCUGGAAUCUAAAACUUCCUGGGCUUCUUUAGCUGGCCCUGGACCCCACGCCGUAAGACAUUCGUCCUCGGAAACACUGUCCCAAUGCAUCAUUGCAACAGUUUAAUACAAAGUAAACUUGUCAACACAAUUCUUUUCCCAAACUAAAAUGCAAGAAAAUAUGAAGACGAAAAUACUUGGUUUUCAACUUUGAAGUACACAGUAAGUUAAAAUUUGUAAAAGCAAGAGUUGUUUAAAAAAAUCCUUAUAAUCUCAAAAAUAUUAUGUAUUCCUUCCUUUAAAUCCUUCAAACGUUUUCUUCAAUCCGUCCUCAAGUGUCCCAUUUUUGAGAUGGAUUUGAUUCAGAGAAUAGACAGUCAAACUUUGGCAUCUACUGUAAUUGAUACAAAAUGGAUUUAAAGGACAAAAGUGCUCAUCCAUAUCAAAAUUACUUUGUUUAUCAAAAAUUGUACCAUUUUUUU